CGCGGUAAUACGUAGGGUGCAAGCGUUAUCCGGAAUUAUUGGGCGUAAAGGGCUCGUAGGCGGUUCGUCGCGUCCGGUGUGAAAGUCCAUCGCUUAACGGUGGAUCCGCGCCGGGUACGGGCGGGCUUGAGUGCGGUAGGGGAGACUGGAAUUCCCGGUGUAACGGUGGAAUGUGUAGAUAUCGGGAAGAACACCAAUGGCGAAGGCAGGUCUCUGGGCCGUUACUGACGCUGAGGAGCGAAAGCGUGGGGAGCGAACAGGAUUAGAUACCCUGGUAGUCCACGCCGUAAACGGUGGAUGCUGGAUGUGGGGCCCGUUCCACGGGUUCCGUGUCGGAGCUAACGCGUUAAGCAUCCCGCCUGGGGAGUACGGCCGCAAGGCUAAAACUCAAAGAAAUUGACGGGGGCCCGCACAAGCGGCGGAGCAUGCGGAUUAAUUCGAUGCAACGCGAAGAACCUUACCUGGGCUUGACAUGUUCCCGACAGCCCCAGAGAUGGGGCCUCCCUUCGGGGCGGGUUCACAGGUGGUGCAUGGUCGUCGUCAGCUCGUGUCGUGAGAUGUUGGGUUAAGUCCCGCAACGAGCGCAACCCUCGCCCCGUGUUGCCAGCGGAUUAUGCCGGGAACUCACGGGGGACCGCCGGGGUUAACUCGGAGGAAGGUGGGGAUGACGUCAGAUCAUCAUGCCCCUUACGUCCAGGGCUUCACGCAUGCUACAAUGGCCGGUACAACGGGAUGCGACGCGGCGACGCGGAGCGGAUCCCUGAAAACCGGUCUCAGUUCGGAUCGCAGUCUGCAACUCGACUGCGUGAAGGCGGAGUCGCUAGUAAUCGCGAAUCAGCAACGUCGCGGUGAAUGCGUUCCCGGGCCUUGUACACACCGCCCGUCAAGUCAUGAAAGUGGGCAGCACCCGAAGCCGGUGGCCUAACCCCUUGUGGGAUGGAGCCGUCUAAGGUGAGGCUCGUGAUUGGGACUAAGUCGUAACAAGGUAGCCGUACCGGAAGGUGCGGCUG
rnacentral:rRNA from 1 species